rnacentral:rRNA from 1 species
UGUGUAGGCGGAGAUGUCAGUUGGAAGUGAAAUGUCCCGGCUUAACCGGGGACCUGCUUCCAAUACUGCAUUUCUUGAGUCAUGCAGGGGAAGACGGAAUUCCUGGUGUAGCGGUGAAAUGCGUAGAUAUCAGGAAGAACACCGGCGGCGAAGGCGGUCUUCUGGGCAUGUACUGACGCUGAGACACGAAAGCGUGGGGAGCAAACAGGAUUAGAUACCCUGGUAGUC